GACGAACGCUGGCGGCGUGCUUAACACAUGCAAGUCGAACGGUGAAGCGCCUUCCUUUUUGGUGGGUGUGGAUGAGUGGCGAACGGGUGAGUAACACGUGAGUAACCUGCCCCCUUCUUCUGGAUAACCGCAUGAAAGUGUGGCUAAUACGGGAUAUUCUGGGUCUGUCGCAUGAUGGGUCUGGGAAAGAUAUUGUUUCGGUGGGGGAUGGGCUCGCGGCCUAUCAGCUUGUUGGUGGGGUGAUGGCCUACCAAGGCGGUGACGGGUAGCCGGCCUGAGAGGGUGGACGGUCACACUGGGACUGAGACACGGCCCAGACUCCUACGGGAGGCAGCAGUGGGGAAUAUUGCACAAUGGGCGCAAGCCUGAUGCAGCGACGCCGCGUGAGGGAUGGAGGCCUUCGGGUUGUGAACCUCUUUCGCCAGUGAAGCAGGCCUGCCUAGUUUGUGGGUGGGUUGACGGUAGCUGGAUAAGAAGCGCCGGCUAACUACGUG
rnacentral:rRNA from 1 species